UGCAGUCGAACGAUGAAGCCCUUCGGGGUGGAUUAGUGGCGAACGGGUGAGUAACACGUGGGAAAUCUGCCCUGCACUCUGGGACAAGCCUUGGAAACGAGGUCUAAUACCGGAUAUGACCUGUCCUCGCAUGGGGAUGGGUGGAAAGCUCCGGCGGUGCAGGAUGAUCCCGCGGCCUAUCAGCUUGUUGGUGGGGUAACGGCCCACCAAGGCGACGACGGGUAGCCGGCCUGAGAGGGCGACCGGCCACACUGGGACUGAGACACGGCCCAGACUCCUACGGGAGGCAGCAGUGGGGAAUAUUGCACAAUGGGCGAAAGCCUGAUGCAGCGACGCCGCGUGAGGGAUGACGGCCUUCGGGUUGUAAACCUCUUUCAGCAGGGAAGAAGCGCAAGUGACGGUACCUGCAGAAGAAGCACCGGCUAACUACGUGCCAGCAGCCGCGGUAAUACGUAGGGUGCGAGCGUUGUCCGGAAUUAUUGGGCGUAAAGAGCUCGUAGGCGGCCUGUCGCGUCGGAUGUGAAAGCCCGGGGCUUAACCCCGGGUCUGCAUUCGAUACGGGCAGGCUGGAGUGUGGUAGGGGAGAUCGGAAUUCCUGGUGUAGCGGUGAAAUG
rnacentral:rRNA from 1 species